UACGGAGGAUCCGAGCGUUAUCCGGAUUUAUUGGGUUUAAAGGGUGCGCAGGCGGGAAGUUAAGUCGGCGGUGAAAUUUUGCGGCUCAACCGUAAAAGCGCCAUCGAAACUGGUUUUCUUGAGGGUGGAUGAAGUAGGCGGAAUUUGUGGUGUAGCGGUGAAAUGCAUAGAUAUCACAAAGAACACCGAUUGCGGAGGCAGCUUACUAAGCCACAUCUGACGCUCAUGCACGAAGGCGUGGGGAUCAAACAGGAUUAGAUACCCUGGUAGUCCACGCAGUAAACGAUGAUUACUAGCUGUUUGCGAUAUAAGGUAAGCGGCUGAGCGAAAGCGUUAAGUAAUCCACCUGGGGAGUACGUUCGCAAGAAUGAAACUCAAAGGAAUUGACGGGGGCCCGCACAAGCGGAGGAACAUGUGGUUUAAUUCGAUGAUACGCGAGGAACCUUACCCGGGCUUGAAAUGCAUCUGACGGAAUCGGAAACGGUUUUUCCCUGCGAGGGGCAGAUGUGUAGGUGCUGCAUGGUU
rnacentral:rRNA from 1 species